rnacentral:RNase_P_RNA from 1 species
GGAAUAAGCCGUCCUAUCGCCGCGGUGAAUGCCGAGGAGGAAAGUCCGGACAGCGCAGAGUGCCGUACUUCCUAACGGGAAGGCAGCGGGCUGGAAACGGCCAACUGACAGCAAGUGCCACAGAGAAUAUACCGCCUGGCACAUUUUUUAUGUCAGGUAAGGGUGAAAAGGUGGAGUAAGAGCCCACCGCUUCAAGGGUGACUUUGAAGGCAGGGUAAACCUUACGGGCUGAAAGAUCAAAUAGGUGUUAAUUUGUGAGGCUUCUCGUCUCCGUUUCUUAGGGAACGUUAACACGGGUAGAUCGUUAGAGGUUUCGAGUGAUUGGAAUCCUGGAUAAAUGAUAGGAAUUCUGAUGCAAAUCAGGAUACAGAAUCCGGCUUACAGGCUUCUUCCUUUU